UCGCGGGCGCAGGAAAUUUGAGAGGAGCUGUCCUUAGUACGAGAGGACCGGGAUGGACGCACCGCUGGUGUACCAGUUGUUCUGCCAAGGGCAUCGCUGGGUAGCUAUGUGCGGACGGGAUAAGUGCUGAAAGCAUCUAAGCAUGAAGCCCCCCUCAAGAUGAGAUUUCCCAUUCCGCAAGGAAGUAAGAUCCCUGAAAGAUGAUCAGGUUGAUAGGUCUGAGGUGGAAGUGUGGCGACACAUGGAGCUGACAGAUACUAAUCGAUCGAGGACUUAACCCACA
rnacentral:rRNA from 1 species